GUAAGUCUGUGGAAAUGUUCGGUGUUUUGAAGAGGCUUUCCACAUUCACUAUAUCUUGAAUACCUUCCACAUCAGGACUCUACCUUGUGCUCUUCGGGCACAUCACUCUGUAUGGCUGUGCCAUGCCAGGCUAACCAAUAUUUCUUCAUUGGACACGUCCACUUCUGCUUCCAAGAGUCUGCCAUUACAGGCUACUCCAGUACAGGGGCAAGCCGAGGCACACCUAACCUCUAAGCCUUCGCCAGGCCCAACAGCCAGUGUUGGCAGUAAGAAGGCCCUCUGUCAGGGCCCGUCAAGAGUCCAGAAGCUUUCUCCGAUGCCUUUGACUCACUUUGGACCAGUCUCACAAGCAAUCGCUCAGUGACGAAGACACGCAUGGUGUGAUCACAGUGACAGACAGCAAGCAACACAGGACAGGAGGGCACCUAGGCAACAGAUCCGUGAAACAGGCUUCCUUUUGGUGGGGAGAAGAUGCAGACAGAACAUAUGCUCUGUGAGGCUUAACACAGCUGAACGGAAUGGUGAUCUCUGACUGGAAGACCUCCAGACCUCCAAGGUGCCCAGGUCUUCUUGGCUCCCUCGUGGGUCAGCCCCGAAGGUGCAUCCCAUGCAUCUAUUCCCUUCAACUCUAAAUGAGCUUAAUAAUAAACCGCAUCGACUUUUGCUGA